ensembl:lncRNA
CACGGCAGGGAAGGGCAGGCUGAGGACUCCAAGCUAAAUCACAGCUGGAGACAGAGUUGGGUCUGGUCCUGUCCAGCCCUGGACCCUGCACGAGGAGGAGGAGGAGGGCUGGGCUGGGCUGGGCUGGGUGUCCAAGGGAAGGCGUUGCUCCCAUUUGGGAAAGCUCCAGCAGCCUCUGUGCCCCUGGGAUGGGAUCCCCUGGUCUGGCAGCCCCAGCCCCUCUCUGGGUGCCCAGCUGCGUCCCUGGGAGCUGCAGGCAGGCCGGAGGAGCUGUGGGCACUGGGAAGAGGGAGAGGAACUCCUCAGGUGGGCACUAACACCUCCCACGGGAGCCAGGGCCCCUCUCUGGCUCCCAGGCACACAAAGAUCCCGUUCCUGGCCCUGUGCCCCUGCAGGGACGGCUGCUGGUGCUCCCCACGCAAGUGCCAGUGUUUGUAUGGAUCCCACAGCCCCUCCUUCCCACCUCUCCCUCCUCUGUCGUGUCUCACCGCCUCCCUCAGCCCGCUCUGCCUUAGUCAGCUCUGCCUCCUUUUGCUCCAAAAGCCUCAAUGUUCUGCACUUGAAUUUAAAAAGUUACUCUCAGAGCUCAGCAGGUUGUGCCAGGUGUGCAGCCCUGCCAGCAAUAGGUGCUUCCACAUCUCCUGUUCCAGCAAUCCCUGUUCCCUUAUCUCCCAUCCCAGCAAUCCCUGUUCUGUUCCCUCAUCUCCCAUUCCAUCAAUCCCUGUUCUGUUCCAGCAAUCCCUGUUCUGUUCCUUCAUCUCCUGUUCCAGCAAUCCCUGUUCUGUUCCCUCAUCUCCCAUCCCUGCAAUCCCUGUUCUGUUCCAGCAAUCCCUGUUCUGUUCCUUCAUCAUCUGUUCCAAACAAUCCCUGUCCUGUUCCUUCAUCUCCCGUUCCAGCAAUCCCUGUUCUGUUCCCUCAUCUCCCGUUCCAGCAAUCCCUGUUCCCUCCUUUCCUGCCUUUCCAGCAAUAGGUGCUUCCACACCUCUUGCCUUUCCAGCAAUGGGUGCUUCCAUAUUUCUUGCCUUUCCAGCAAUACCUGUUCUCCUCCCUCAACUCCAGCCUUUCCAGCAAUUCCUGUUUUAUUCCCUCAUCUCCAGCCUUUCCAGCAAUGGGUGCUUCCAUAGCUCCCAUUUCCAGCAAUAUCUGCUCUUUCCAUCUCCAGCCUUUCCAGCAGUUCCUGCUCCCUCAUCUGUUUCCAGCAAUACCUGUUCCUCACCUCCUGCCUUUCCAGCAAUACCUGUUCCUCAUCUCCUGCCUUUCCAGCAAUGGGUGCUUCCACACCUCUGCCUUUCCAGCAAUUCCUGUUUUAUUCCCUCAUCUCCUGCCUUUCCAGCAAUACCUGUUCCUCAUCUCCUGCCUUUCCAGGAAUACCUGAUCCCUCACCUCCUGCCUUUCCAGCAAUGGGUGCUUCCACACCUCCUGCCUUUCUAGCAAUACCUAUUUUGUUCUCUCACCUCCUGCCUUUUCAGCAAUUCCUGUUUUAUUCCUUCUUCUCCUGCCCUUUCAGCAAUAGGUGCUUCCACACCUCUGCCUUUCCAGCAAUACUGUUCUGUUCCCUCUCCUGCCUCUCCUGCAGUGGUGUUCCCCCUCCCCUGCCUCUCCUGCAGUGGUGUUCCCUCUCUCCUGCAGUGGUGUUCCCUCUCUCCUGCCUCUCCAGCAGUGGUGUUCCCCCUCCCCUGCCUCUCCUGCAGAACUGCUCCCUCAUCUCCCGUUUGCAGCCACCCCUGCCCCCCCCAGCCCCAGGAGCCCAGCUGAGC